CACGUAGGGUGCAAGCGUUGUCCGGAAUCAUUGGGCGUAAAGAGCUCGUAGGCGGCUUAGUAAGUCGGGUGUGAAAACCCCAGGCUCAACCUGGGGACGCCACCCGAUACUGCUAUAGCUAGAGUCCAGUAGGGGAGUGUGGAAUUCCCAGUGUAGCGGUGAAAUGCGCAGAUAUUGGGAGGAACACCAGCGGCGAAGGCGGCACUCUGGGCUGGUACUGACGCUGAGGUGCGAAAGCGUGGGGAGCAAACAGG
rnacentral:rRNA from 1 species